GGUCCCCCUCUUCUUAUAAAUACAAGGGCAGAGCUGGCGUCUGGGGAAGUCAGAGAGCAGAGAGCCCAGGAGUCCUCAGGCUGGUACUCGCUGUGCACGGGGAAGAUGAAGACCUCAAUAGUUGCCCUCUCCUGCCUCAUCCUUGCUGCCCAGGCUGCAGUUGAACACCUGAUGCCGAACCUGAACAGUGAACACUCACUAUCUCAAGGAGGCUUUCACCGUCCCACUGACUGCUGCUUCUCUUACACCACACGAAAAAUCCGAUGUGUAUUCAUGAAAGAUUAUGUA
rnacentral:lncRNA from 1 species